CAGUCGCCGCGGUAAUACGAAGGGUGCAAGCGUUACUCGGUAUUACUGGGCGUAAAGCGUGUGUAGGUGGUUGUUUAAGUCUGUCGUGAAAGCCCUGGGCUCAACCUGGGAAUUGCGAUGGAUACUGGGCGACUAGAGUGCGGUAGAGGAUAGUGGAAUUUCCGGUGUAGCAGUGAAAUGCGUUGAGAUCGGAAGGAACAUCUGUGGCGAAGGCGACUAUCUGGGCCAACACUGACACUGAGACACGAAAGCGUGGGGAGCAAACAGGAUUAGAUACCCCGGUAGUCCCUGUCUCUUAUAA
rnacentral:rRNA from 1 species